UACAGAGGUCCCGAGCGUUGUUCGGAUUCACUGGGCGUAAAGGGUGCGUAGGUGAUGAAGUAAGUCGGAUGUGAAAUCUCGGAGCUUAACUCCGAAACUGCAUUGGAAACUACUUUGCUCGAGGGUUGGAGGGGGGACUGGAAUUCUCGGUGUAGCAGUGAAAUGCGUAGAUAUCGAGAGGAACACCAGUGGCGAAGGCGAGUCCCUGGACAACUCCUGACACUGAGGCACGAAAGCUAGGGGAGCAAACAGG
rnacentral:rRNA from 1 species